rnacentral:rRNA from 1 species
GGAUGAACGCUGGCGGCGUGCCUAAUACAUGCAAGUCGAGCGAACGGACGAGAAGCUUGCUUCUCUGAUGUUAGCGGCGGACGGGUGAGUAACACGUGGAUAACCUACCUAUAAGACUGGGAUAACUUCGGGAAACCGGAGCUAAUACCGGAUAAUAUUUUGAACCGCAUGGUUCAAAAGUGAAAGACGGUCUUGCUGUCACUUAUAGAUGGAUCCGCGCUGCAUUAGCUAGUUGGUAAGGUAACGGCUUACCAAGGCAACGAUGCAUAGCCGACCUGAGAGGGUGAUCGGCCACACUGGAACUGAGACACGGUCCAGACUCCUACGGGAGGCAGCAGUAGGGAAUCUUCCGCAAUGGGCGAAAGCCUGACGGAGCAACGCCGCGUGAGUGAUGAAGGUCUUCGGAUCGUAAAACUCUGUUAUUAGGGAAGAACAUAUGUGUAAGUAACUGUGCACAUCUUGACGGUACCUAAUCAGAAAGCCACGGCUAACUACGUGCCAGCAGCCGCGGUAAUACGUAGGUGGCAAGCGUUAUCCGGAAUUAUUGGGCGUAAAGCGCGCGUAGGCGGUUUUUUAAGUCUGAUGUGAAAGCCCACGGCUCAACCCGUGGAGGGUCAUUGGAAACUGGAAAACUUGAGUGCAGAAGAGGAAAGUGGAAUUCCAUGUGUAGCGGUGAAAUGCGCAGAGAUAUGGAGGAACACCAGUGGCGAAGGCGACUUUCUGGUCUGUAACUGACGCUGAUGUGCGAAAGCGUGGGGAUCAAACAGGAUUAGAUACCCUGGUAGUCCACGCCGUAAACGAUGAGUGCUAAGUGUUAGGGGGUUUCCGCCCCUUAGUGCUGCAGCUAACGCAUUAAGCACUCCGCCUGGGGAGUACGACCGCAAGGUUGAAACUCAAAGGAAUUGACGGGGACCCGCACAAGCGGUGGAGCAUGUGGUUUAAUUCGAAGCAACGCGAAGAACCUUACCAAAUCUUGACAUCCUUUGACAACUCUAGAGAUAGAGCCUUCCCCUUCGGGGGACAAAGUGACAGGUGGUGCAUGGUUGUCGUCAGCUCGUGUCGUGAGAUGUUGGGUUAAGUCCCGCAACGAGCGCAACCCUUAAGCUUAGUUGCCAUCAUUAAGUUGGGCACUCUAAGUUGACUGCCGGUGACAAACCGGAGGAAGGUGGGGAUGACGUCAAAUCAUCAUGCCCCUUAUGAUUUGGGCUACACACGUGCUACAAUGGACAAUACAAAGGGUAGCGAAACCGCGAGGUCAAGCAAAUCCCAUAAAGUUGUUCUCAGUUCGGAUUGUAGUCUGCAACUCGACUACAUGAAGCUGGAAUCGCUAGUAAUCGUAGAUCAGCAUGCUACGGUGAAUACGUUCCCGGGUC